UGAGGAAUAUUGGUCAAUGGACGCAAGUCUGAACCAGCCAAGUAGCGUGCAGGAUGACGGCCCUAUGGGUUGUAAACUGCUUUUAUAUGGGGAUAAAGUGGGGAACGUGUUUCCUUUUGCAGGUACCAUAUGAAUAAGGACCGGCUAAUUCCGUGCCAGCAGCCGCGGUAAUACGGAAGGUUCGGGCGUUAUCCGGAUUUAUUGGGUUUAAAGGGAGCGUAGGCCGUUUGGUAAGCGUGUUGUGAAAUGUAGGAGCUCAACUUCUAGAUUGCAGCGCGAACUGUCAGACUUGAGUGCGCACAACGUAGGCGGAAUUCAUGGUGUAGCGGUGAAAUGCUUAGAUAUCAUGAAGAACUCCGAUUGCGAAGGCAGCUUACGGGAGCGCAACUGACGCUGAAGCUCGAAGGUGCGGGUAUCGAACAGG
rnacentral:rRNA from 1 species